UGUAUGUGUGCCCGUAUGUAUAUAAAUAUGCGUGUGUGUGUGGGACCGCGUGUAUGUGACCGACCGCGUGCUGAUGUUUUUCACACACGUUUUAAUUCUGAUA